GUCAUGUCAGACAACGAGGAAAAUUUUGAUGAUGAUGACUUUGAUGAAGUGGAGGAGUAUGAAGGGUUAGAUGACUUGGAGAAUGCCGAGGAGGAAGGCCAGGAGAACGUGAAGAUACUCCCCUCUGGAGAGUGACCGCAAGCCAACCAGAAGCGAAUCACCACACCGUACAUGACCAAGUAUGAGCGAGCCCGUGUGCUAGGCACCCGAGUUCUCCAGAUCGCGAUGUGUGCUCCUGUGAUGGUGGAGCUGGAGGGGGAGACAGACCCUUUGCUCAUCGCCAUGAAGGAGCUCAAGGCCCAGAAGAUCCCCAUCAUCAUUUGCCGCUACCUGCCUGAUGGGAGCUAUGAAGACUGGGGGGUAGACGAGCUCAUCAUCACCGACUGAGCUGGGGUCGUCCUGACCUCGCCCCUGCUCACUUUCAUCACUUUAUGUGACAGCUGUAAACAAUAAACUAUUCAACCUUCCAAACAAAAAGAAA